AGAGAGAUGUUUCAUUCCAUGCUUAGGAUUUGACUGGGGAUGGGCCCAUGAUCCGUUCUUUGUCAAUUUCCCACAUCUCUCUCCUGAAAAUGCAUACCCUUCAGUAAGGACAACUACAGAGUCACAUUUUUACUCAACACCACUUAACUACUAAUGCAACUUUGCUACUUCAAUUUCUAAAUAGUGUAGUGAUAUUCUGUUUGUGUUUUAACAAAAAAAAAUUUGCCUGAUGAUCAGGGUGCACAGUUAAGGCACUAGAUGCCAGGGAAUGGUGGCUCACACCUUUAAUCCCAGGAUUUAAUCCCAGGACUAGGGAGGUGGAGACAGGAGUGAUAUAGCUGGACACAGAGAGGAAUAUAAGGCGGGAAGAGACAGGAAAUCAUUGUAGUCUGAGGUUUGCUGGAGACAGAUGCAGUCUAUUGAUUGAUUCAUCAGGAUCGCCCCUUCAGUCUGAGCAUUGGUAGAGGGAAAGGAGGAAGCCAAUGCACAGCCAUUACAGGGAUCAAGGCCUCAGACUCCUGGGAAAUUGGCAAAGUCUUCUUCCUUCUCAAAGUGUUGACGGACAACUGAUCAGAUACUGCAAGGGGCAGACUACAGUUUCCAUUUUCUGAUACGGAAGGUAACACUGUGAGGUUGAGCCGCUUGAAGAGAGUGGUGACCGGAACCGGGUCUGUAGACCAGCAUCUCACCACACUGUCUGGAUACUAGAGACAUUCUUCUGCAAGUCGAUCAACUGCCUCAAUUCCACCUCUUCUGCACUAAAGAGUAUAAUUUUGAUCUUGACGCACUAAAUUGAUGGUGAAAACACGCCAAUGAGUCAUGAGUCACAGUUUGAAACUACGGCUGUCAGCUGGGGGCAUAUUAAAAAUAUUUAAGAAUGAGACAGCAUAAACACAGACGACACAGACAUGAAGUGGCGUGCUGGGGUAAGUUCUCUUGGGGUCUGUAUUAGAUAUCCUAUUGCAGCAGUUCACGGGAGCAGCACUGGACAACGAGGACGGCAGAGGGCAGAGGCUCCUCUGCCACUAACGUGUUAGCGACUCUGUGGUCCACACCAGUGUGUAGGCCCCCAAACAGCAACAGUAUCGUGGGCGUGUGCUGUUUACUUUUUUUCAACAACAGACUUCGUGAAAGUCUUAAUUUUGCUUUGUAGCAAGACACCUCCUAUCUUUGGAUGGAUCAAGUUUUCAGAGG